GGUCAUUAUCUUGUUGAUAGAAUAGUUAUUUGCAGUAUACUAACUGUUGGCAUACUCUAUUUCAGGCCUAUCAAUUGUUCUUGUCACUGGCAAUCUUUGAAAUACAAUCUUGCUCUGUGACCUUUACUGACAAGUUGGCUUUUACUACAUAUGUGGCUCUGACACCUCUUUAAUUAAUGCACCAGUCAAUGUAAACCCCCCAACCGGGGAGGGGCAGGGAUUUUGACUUGGAGGGAUAGUAAAAGAGCAAAAUUGUCCCGCCCCCAGGGACAUCAAUGUCCCCUGCAUGUCUCUCAACUGCGGGAAAAUAGUUUUGUAUAAUCAUAGAUCAGCAAUAGAAAAUCAAAUUCAUUUAUGUUGUUGUAUUUAAACUUUUCUUGUCAACAAAACUAAACCAACAACACAGGAUAUAUAUAUAUAUAUUAACCACCGUCCAAGUCUCCCAUCAUUGGGGCAAAUUUAUAAUCAAAACGGACCACUUUCCCCACUAAACCUCCCGCCCCUCCCCGGUUGGGGGCAGGGUUUACAUUGACUGGUGCAUAACUAGAUGAUUGCAUGAAAGUUGAUUUAGUAAUACGUAUAAUUAGUUUAUGAAUAAACUUGCACUUUCAUUGUAGAGGUUAAGAUUUGAGUUCUACUAGCACUAUCUCUGACUGCCUUAGUAUGCAUCUGAUUGGUUAUAAUGGUUGAUCGAAUAUAUCAAAUGCAUUUGAUGGUCCCUUAAUGGUAAUGGUAGUCAAAUCUGAACCUCUAUAAUGUAAAUGAAGAAUGCAUACUGGAAAAGUAUCAAAUUAAAUUUUAAUUGUCAAUGUUGUGGAAAG